GAUUUCUGAACAUCAGUGUCUGGCCGGCCACGGUUUCGUGUGUUAGUGCUUGAUACUUUGUUCAUCCUUCCAAUCGCUUUAUACUAUUCUUCAUUGAAUUGGUAUGGGGUAUUGGAUCUUUUACUUUGAAAAAAUUAGAGUGUUUCAAGCAGGCUUCAAUGCUAUGAAUACAUUAGCAUGGAAUAAUAAUUUAGGACUUUGGUUCUAUUUUGUUGGUUUCUAGGACUGAAGUAAUGAUUGAUAGGGAUAGUUGGGGGUGCUAGUAUUCAGCGGCCAGAGGUGAAAUUCUCGGAUUCGCUGAAGACUAACUUAUGCGAAAGCAUU
rnacentral:rRNA from 1 species